CCCGUUGGUUCCCCUGUUAGGUCC
rnacentral:misc_RNA from 1 species